rnacentral:rRNA from 1 species
AGAGUUUGAUCCUGGCUCAAAACGAACGCUGGCGGCACGCUUAACACAUGCAAGUCGAACGGAUACAUAAUAAGCUUGCUUAUUGUGUAUUAGUGGCAAACGGGUGAGUAACACGUGGGAAUCUGCCCAUCAGUACGGAAUAAUUUUUAGAAAUGAAAACUAAUACCGUAUAUUCUCUAGCGAGGAAAGAUUUAUCGCUGAUGGAUGAGCCCGCGGCAGAUUAGGUAGUUGGUAGGGUAAUGGCCUACCAAGCCAGAGAUCUGUAGCUGGUCUGAGAGGAUGAUCAGCCACACUGGAACUGAGACACGGUCCAGACUCCUACGGGAGGCAGCAGUGAGGAAUACUGGACAAUGGGCGCAAGCCUGAUCCAGCGAUGCCGCGUGAGUGAUGAAGGCCUUAGGGUUGUAAAGCUCUUUUAGCGGGGAAGAUAAUGACGGUACCCGCAGAAAAAGCCCUGGCUAACUCCGUGCCGGCAGCCGCGGUAAGACGGAGGGGGCUAGCGUUGUUCGGAAUUAUUGGGCGUAAAGGGUGCGUAGGUGGUUUGUUAAGUUGAAAGUGAAAGCCUGGAGCUUAACUUCAGAAUUGCUUUCAAUACUGGCGGACUAGAGUACGAUAGAGGGUGAUGGAAUUCCUAGUGUAGAGGUGAAAUUCUUAGAUAUUAGGAGGAACACCGAUGGCGAAGGCAAUCACCUGGGUCGAUACUGACACUGAGGCACGAAAGCGUGGGUAGCAAACAGGAUUAGAUACCCUGGUAGUCCACGCUGUAAACGAUGAGUGCUAGAUGUUGGGGAUUCGUUCCUCAGUUUCGCAGCUAACGCAUUAAGCACUCCGCCUGGGGACUACGAUCGCAAGAUUAAAACUCAAAGGAAUUGACGGGGGCCCGCACAAGCGGUGGAGCAUGCGGUUUAAUUCGAUACUACGCGAAAAACCUUACCAACUCUUGACAUGCUAACAGCAGGCAUAGAGAUAUGCUCUCGGUUCGGCCGGGUUAGCACAGGUGUUGCACGGCUGUCGUCAGCUCGUGUCGUGAGAUGUUGGGUUAAGUCCCGCAACGAGCGCAACCCUCAUCCUUAUUUGCCAGCGAGUAAUGUCGGGAACUAUAAGGAAACCGCCAGCGAAGUAAGCUGGAGGAAGGUGGGGACGUCAAGUCAUCAUGGCCCUUAUGAGUUGGGCUACACGCGUGCUACAAUGGCGUCUACAGAGGGAAGCGAUACGGCGACGUGGAGCAAAUCCCAAAAAAGACGCCUCAGUUCGGAUUGCACUCUGCAACUCGAGUGCAUGAAGUCGGAAUCGCUAGUAAUCGCGGAUCAGCAUGCCGCGGUGAAUACGUUCCCGGGCCUUGUACACACUGCCCGUCACGCCAUGGGAGUCGAAUCUACCCGAAGAUAGUGAGCUAACGCAAGAGGCAGCUAUCUACGGUGGGUUUGGUAACUGGGGUGAAGUCGAAACAAGGUA